rnacentral:misc_RNA from 1 species
UGUUAAACCACACAGAGCA